GAGUGAAACAAGAAAUUCCACACGCACACAUUGUGGAAUUAAUUAUUGGUGUUGGGUGGGUCGCUCAAGGAUCAAUAUACUGCUUUGCUAUGCUCGAUCUCUUUCGAUGUUUGCAACGGUAAUUUUUUCAACUUUCUUUCCACACAUAUUUGCAGCAUGUUGAUUCAGAUUAAGAUACCCAUUUUCUCAUUCUUCAUUGUUAACGCAACAUUCAAUCUUCUGCUUCAUAAAAACAAAACAAAAGAAACCUUAAUUGAGGAAAGUUGUUCUUUUUAUCACAUGACCCUUUUCUUUGUUUGGUAUUGGUAAUUGGUACCAAUGUUUUCAAAGAUUAACUUUUUUGUUUGCUAACGGUAAUUUUGCAACUUUCAUUCAAAUACCCAUUUGUUCAUUUUUUUUAUUUAGUCAAGAAUAUUCAAUUUUCUGCAUGAAAAAAUUACAACUUUACCCAUUUUUAUCAUUCAAGAACAUUCAAUCUUCUGCUUGAGAAAAACAAAACAACUUAAUUCUGCAAAUGGUAUUCUGUUCUGUCGCAAAAGAAUCUUAAAAGACAGUUUUUUUGUUUUUCUCAUAUUCAAUCUUCUGCUUGAGAAAAACAAAACAACUUAAUUCUGCAAAUGGUGUUCUGUUCUGUCGCAAAAGAAUCUUAAAAGACAGUUUUUUUGUUUUUCUCAUAUUCAAUCUUCUGCUUGAGAAAAACAAAACAACUUAAUUCUGCAAAUGGUGUUCUGUUCUGUCCCAAAAGAAUCUUAAAAGACAGUUUUUUUUUGUUUUUCUCAUUCUUGAUCAUUCAAGAAUAUUCAAUCUUCUGCUUGAGAAAAACAAAACAACUUAAUAGUGCAAACCAUGUUCUGUUCUGUCCCAAAAGAAUCUUAAAAGAGAGUGUUUUUGUUUUUCUCAUUCUUGAUCACUCAAGAAUAUUCAAUCUUCUGCUUGAGAAAAACAAAACAACUUAAUUGUGCAAACGGUGUUCUGUUCUGUCCCAAAAGAAUCUUAAAAGACAGUUUUUUUUUUGUUUUUCUCAUUCUUGAUCAUUCAAGAAUAUUCAAUCUUCUGCUUGAGAAAAACAAAACAACUUAAUUGUGCAAACCAUGUUCUGUUCUGUCCCAAAAGAAUCUUAAAAGACAGUUUUUUUGUUUUUCUCAUUCUUGAUCAUUCAAGAAUAUUCAAUCUUCUGCUUGAGAAAAACAAAACAACUUAAUUGUGCAAACCAUGUUCUGUUCUGUUCUGUCCCAAAAGAAUCUUAAAAGACAGUUUUUUUUGUUUUUCUCAUAUUCAAUCUUCUGCUUGAGAAAAACAAAACAACUUAAUUCUGCAAAUGGUGUUCUGUUCUGUCCCAAAAGAAUCUUAAAAGACAGUUUUUUUUUGUUUUUCUCAUUCUUGAUCAUUCAAGAAUAUUCAAUCUUCUGCUUGAGAAAAACAAAACAACUUAAUUGUGCAAACGGUGUUCUGUUCUGUCCCAAAAGAAUCUUAAAAGACAGUUUUUUGUUUGUCACGAUUAGCGAGUUUCACCUGUUUUUGCAAUUUUCAUUCUAACAUAUUUGCUCCAUCCGGUUUAUAAUCGAUACAUGUUGGGUUUCCAAUUUAAAAGGGUAGAAAAGACUAUGAAUGAUUGUGUGACGAAAUCUCUUUUCAUUAUCUGAAAAAGGGUGGAGUAUAUUGCCCUAGUAACCCUAAAUUUGACCAUUGGAAUCGAUGUUUGUAACGGAUGGAUCAUAGAUGCCUCAAUGACCAUAGGGUAAAAUGUUGGAUGAACUUAUUGUCCCUAGUCCCUGAAUGUGAAAGCUAGUUGUUGCCUUAAUUGUUACACAAGCAAUUGUCUCUAUUGGUGUAUGCUUUUCUAUUAAAAAAAUUAUGAAUUUUUAUGCAUAAUCAUGCAUGAUUGGAUUUAUAUUCUGCUUUGAUGACCCUUAGUCCCUAAAUUCCAUCUUGCAACUGCAAUUAGAAGUGAUUUUGCUUUAUCAACUUAAUGACCCUUGUCCCUAAUGUUUCAUAAGUUUUGUAACGGAUGGAUGCUUCAAUGACCCCUGAGGAAAAUGCAUUAUGAAUUCUUUAUUCAUAAUGAAAAAGUUGGAUGGUGGCUUUUCAAAGCAAAGCAAUUUUAAUAUGAAAUUUUAUUCAAAAUGUGGAUGAUGUCUGUUAUCUUUUUAUGACCCUAAUUGUGAAACUGUCACUCGUGGUAUGGUAUACAUGAACUCACUAACUCCAAAUUCCACAAUAAGAUGGAUAUACGUUGUUUCAUGAUUUUCGUAAGGGAUUGUCUUGGUGGCCAAAAAAUGCUGGAUGAUGCUUGAACGUGAAAGCUAGUUGUUGCCUUAAAAUGAAAAUUUAAUAUAAAAUUUCAUUCAUAAUAUAAGGCAUGAAUAUUAUCUAUUGUGCUUUCAUGACCCUAGUCCCUUAAUGCAAUUUUGCAACUACAAUAUGAUGAAUUGAUUUUUCAAUAAAAUUCAAUCUUCUGCUCGAGAAAUAGAAAACCUUUUAUUGUUGAACAUUGCGGUGUUCAGGUUCAGCGGUGAUUUGGAAACCGAAAUCUCAUGGAACUGUUAGUGGAGGACUGUAACUGAAAUUGAAAGCAUGCUGGUGGGUAAAGGGAAGGUUGAUGGUUCAGGUGUUGGUGUUGAUGUGGCUUCGUGCAAGAAUCAGAGCCACUUUUUAUCCCAAAUUUGAAAAGGAAAAGUCAGAUCAAGAGGUAUAUGAUUCUCGACUCAGUUUUUUAUGUUUUGAUUUCAUGAGUGGAGGUUAUAUUGUUGAAUUUUGUCAUGUAUCAAUUUUCCUUGUUUAUAUAUAUUUUUCUUCGUAAUAAUUGUUUGAGUCUCAGCCUCAUGGGAUAUUAGAUAAUCAAACACAAUUUUUUGAACGACAUUCAAAAGAAACUGAUAUGCUAUGUGCCGAGACCCUGAGGUUGAAAGAUAAACAUUUGCUGCAAUUUUCAUCGAAAUAUCCUUUUUUUCAUUGUUUUAUUUAGUCAAGAACAUUCAAUCUUCUGCUUGAAAAAAGUACAACUUUACCCAUUGUUCUCAUUCUUGAUCAUUCAAGAACAUUCAAUCUUCUCCUUGAAAAAAAGAAAACAACCUUAAUUGUGCAAAAGGUGUUCUGUUCUGUCCCAAAAGAACCUUAAAAGACAGUUUUUUGUUUGUCACGAUAAGCGAGUUUCACCCGUUUUUGCAAUUUUCAUUCUAACAUAUUUGCCCCUUCCGGUUUAUAAUCGAUACAUGUUGGGAACGAUGGUGGAUUUCCAAUUUAAAAGGGUAUAAAAACCCUAUAAGACCGUGAAUCAUUAUGUGAUGGAAUCUCUUUUCAUUAUCUGAAAAAGGGGUGGAGUAUAUUGCCUUAGUAACCCUAAAUUUGACCGUUGGAGUUGAUGUUUGUAACGGAUGGAUCAUAGAUGCCUCAAUUACGACGAUAGAGUAAAAUGUUGGAUGUACUUAAUGUCCCUAGUUCCUGAAUGUGAAAGCUAAUUGUUGCCUUAAUUGCUACACAAGCAAUGGUCUCUAUUGGUGUCUGCUUUUCUAUUGAAAAAAAUUAUGAAUUUUUAUUCAUAAUAAUGCAUGAUAGAUAUAUAUUCUGCUUUGAUGACCCUUAGUCCCUAAAUUCAAUUUUGCAACUGCAAUUAGAAGUGAUUUUGCAUUAUUAACUUAACGACCCUUGUUCCUAAUGUUUAAUAAGUUUUGUAACGGACGGAUGCUUCCAUGACCUUUGAGGAAAAUGCAUUAUGAAUUCUUUAUUAAUAUGAAAAUUUAUUCAAAAUGUGGAUGGUGUCAAUUGUCUUUUUAUGACCCUAAUUGUGAAACUGUCACUAGUGGUAUGGUAUACAUGAACUCACUAACUCCAAAUUCGACAAUAAGAUGGAUAUACUUUGUUCCAUGAUUUUUGUAAGGGAUUGUCUUGGUGGCCCAAAACGGUGGAUGAUGCCUUAAUGUGAAAGCUAGUUGUUGCCUUAAAUGCAAUUUUUAUAUAAAGCAUGGAUAUUAUCUAUUGUGCUUUGAUGACCCUAGUCCCUAAAUGCAAUUUUGUAACUACAAUAUAAAGUGAUUUUGCAAAUGCAAAAGGAAGCGCUUCCUUGUAUUUGAUUGAUGAUAGCCUAUUGACGAGGGUUUCAUAGGAAUUCUCUAAGGAAGAAACGAAUCAAUUGAAGCAAAGUACAAAGAAACCAAUUCUUUGGAGUCAACUAUUUCUUAUAACAUCUAUUUGGUAUAUGGCAUUAUGCAGACAACUUAUGCCAUAUAAGGAUGCUUGUAUUGCAAUCAAUGGAGGAAACCGUAAUGAGGUUGUAUCUGCUAGUUUAUUUUAUUGCAGACCUAUUGUGAAAUAUGAUGAAAUUUGGUGGGUGCUGCUGCUGGUAUAAGAAUCAGAUAGCUUUAUAUGAUGAAAUUUGUAUCUGUUGAUAGUUAUCAAUGUAAGUCUUGGAUUUAGUAACUGAAAAAGGUAGAACCUUACCCAUUUUUAUCACUACGAUAUGCUGCUGUUGCUAAUGACAGCAGUUAACAGCUGUCAAAAAUGUUUGCUGCUGCUGUUGCUUCAUAGAUGAAGUGUUUACGUGUCAGUAGUGUCACUUUCUCAAAUUAUGAUUGGUGUUGACGUGUCAGUAGUGUCGGUGUGUCGUGCUUCAUAGACGAAGUGUUUACGUGCUUGUUCAUCGGUUUUGCGCAGUUUAUUUCAUUCUAUUUUGAUGUGAUUUUCUGUUUUUGAAAUUGUGGUUUCAAAUUGAUGGAGAAGCUGUAUGGUGAAAGUUUACGGAAUUGUGUAUUUAUGACAGGUUCUUGAGAUUUUGAGUCACGUGAACAAGAGAAUGAAGCUUCAGUCUGAUGUUGGUUUGCCUUUGAGUGAGUUGUGGAAAUUUUAUUUGGAAUCUGGUGCUGCUCCGAUGAUAAGGAAUAUUUUUGCAUUGUCUAUAUAGAGAUGGCUUUUCAACGUGUUAAUGCAAAGGUAAAGGAAGAUUUGGCACCUGAUAUCUUGAUGAACAUCUCAAAACUUCCUCUUCAACACCAGGAAACUUCUUAAAACUUUCUGAAUAUUUUUGUUGUUAUAUAUAUAACUAAAUGUUCCAUACGACUUCCUUUGAUACUGAAUACUUAUUAUUUUGAGUUUUUGUAAGUCGGACACCGAGGACAAAGUCUGGUAUUGACUUUGGCCAUUUCAUUCCUCCAUUUGGUCAAUGGUUUUAUCAUUUCAUUUAUUUAUCUAUAUUUCUAUAUAUUAUGUUUCGUCAUAAACUACGAAUGAUUUACAUGCUCCUUCUCUUUGAUGCACAACAUAUUUUUGACUGUUGUUAACUGUUGUCAUUAGCAACAGCAGCCUAUCGUAAGAUACAAUACAAUAAGCAGGUGUUCAUACAAGUUAUCUGAUAUAUAUGUCUGCUUUGAUGCCCAAAAAAUGCUGGAUAAUUUACUUAAUGACCCUAGUCCCUGAAUGUGAAAGCUGGUUGUUGCCUUAAUUGCUAAGCAAUUGGUGUCUGAUUUCUAUUAAAAAAAAUUAUGAAUUUUUAUUCAUAAUAACGCAUGAAUGGAUAUAUAUUCUGCUUUGAGGACCCUUAGUCCCUAAAUUCAAUUAGAAAUGAUUUUGCAUUAUGAACUUAAUGACUCGUGUCCCUAAUGUUAAGUUUUGUAACGGAUGGAUGCUUCAAUGAGGAAAAUGCGUUAUGAAUUCUUUAUUCAUAAUAGAAAAGUUGGAUGGUGGCUUUUCAAAGCAAAUCAACUUUAAUAUGAAAUUUUAUUCAAAAUGGGGAUGGUGUCUAUUAUCUUUUUAUGAUCCUAAUUGUGAAACUGUCACUAGUGGUAUGUGGUAUACAUGAACUCACUCUCUCCAAAUUCGACAAUAAGAUGGAUAUACUUUGUUCCAUGACUUUUGUAAGGGAUUGUCUUGGUGGCCCAAAAAUGUUGGAUGAUGCCUUAACGUGAAACCUAGUUGUUGCCUUAAUUAAAUGCAAUUUUAAUAUAAAAUUCAUUCAUAAUAUAAGGGAUUGUCUUGGUGGCCCAAAAUUGUUGGAUAUUAUCUAUUGUGCUUUGGUGACGCUUAGUCCCUAAAUGCAAUUUUGCAACUACAAUAUGAAGUGAUUAUGCAAAUGCAAAAGGAAGUGCUUCCUUGUGUUGGAUUGAUUAGCCUAUUGAUACAUGUUGUUAUACCCAUUUUUUAUUUAGUCAAGAACAUGCGAUCUUUUGCUUGAAAUUCAAUCAUCUGCUUGAGAAAAAAGAAAGAACCUUGUUAAUUGAGCAAAAAGUAUUUUGUCCCAAGAUCCUGUUUGAUCCCACUAUUUUGAAAGAUUAACUUUUUCCUUUGCUAUACUGUAAUUUUGGAACUUCCAUUCUAAUAUAUUUGCAUUGAUUCUUGUUGGGAUACACAUUUUUUCAAUUUUGACUAGUCAAGAAUAUUCAAUCUUCUGCUUGAAAACAAGAAACCUUGAUUGAGGAAACAUGUUAUGUCCUAAGAAUCUUCAAUCUUCUGCUGCUUAUUGGAAAUUUCAUUCCAACAUAUUUGCCCCAUUUGGUUUAUAAUUGAUACAUGUCGGGAACAAUGAUGGGCUGCCGAUUUUAUCAUUCUUGAUUAUUCAAAAACCUUUAAUCUUUACAUAUAUAAAUGGAAGGGAUCUGUUCUUUUAUAUUGUUUGGCUCGAAAGCUAGGGAUGGACUGAUGUAUUAGGCUAGUAAUAGAUAGAUGUCAUGUAUUGGAAAAUUUCUCUUGUCAAAAUAUGUAUUUUUCUCUAUACUUGCAGCUUUGCGUCGUAGUAGGCGGAAAGUUCGAUCUGUAAUCACUACUGAGUUGCUUUUCCAAAAGCUUUGCGUCGCAGUAGGCGGAAAGUUCGAUCUGUAAUCACUACUGAGUUGCUUUUCCAAAUGUCAUAGGAGUUUGGAGAUAACCAAAAUUACGAUCCUUGUGGUAUGAAAUUUCCUGCAGGACUUUCAACUAGCAAAAUAGCAGAAUUGCAUUAGGCAAGAUGGACUGCUUUGAUUGAUCAUAUGGAUGAAGCACUUUCAGAAGAAGAAAAACAACUUGAAAGUUGGCUGAAUCAAAUAAAACAAAAGCAACUGCUCUGUGAUCAGGGCCUACAACAUGUAAAUUGGAGCAAGGCUUAUGGUUUACAACAGUUGGGGACUUCAGAAAAUCAUUCCAGGUUCAGCGGUGAUUUGGAAACCGAAAUCUCAUGGAAUUGUUUGUGGAGGACUGUAACUAAAGUUGAAAGCAUGUUGGUGGAUAAAAGGAACGUUGAUGGUUCAAGUGUUGGUGUUGAUGUGGCUUCAUACACGAAUCAGAGCAACUUUCUAUUCCAAAUUUGAAAAUGAAAAGUCAGAUCAAGAGGUAUAUGAUUCCUGACUCAGUUUUUUAUGUUUUGAUUUCAUGAGUGGAGGUUAUAUUGUUGAAUUUUGUCAUGUAUCAAUUUUCAUAGUUUAUAUAUAUUUUUCUUCGUAAUAAUUGUUUGAGUCUUAGCCUUAUGGGAUAUUAGACAAUCAAACACAAUUUUUUCAAGAAUAUUCAAAAGAAACUGAUAUGCUAUCUAUGUGCCGAGACCCCGAGGUUGAAAGAUAAACAUUGUUUGCUAUGGUAAUUUUUUAUUCUCAUUUCACAUAUUUGCAUUGAUGCAUGUUCAAAUACUCAUUUUCUCAUUCUUGAUUAUUCAACAACGUUCAAUCUACUGCUUGAUAAAGACAAAAUAACGUAAUUAUGGGAUUUUCAUUCCAUUAUAUCGGUUUACGAUUUAUACCUGUUGUGAUGCCAAUUUUUAAUUCUUGAUAAUUCAAGAACAUUCAAUCUUCUGCUUUGCGUCAACAAAAAAUCUUCUGUUUGAAAACAAGAAACCUUAAUUGAGAAAACGUGUUCCGUCCCACGAAUCUUCAAUCUUCUGCUUGUUGGAAAUUUCAUUACAACAUAUUUGCCCCAUCUGGUUUAUAAUUGAUACAUGUUGGGAACGAUGAUGUGCUGCCGAUUUUAACAUUCUUGAUUAUUCAAAAACCUUUGAUCUUUUGCUUCGGUAAAAAGUGAACUUUCAAAUUUUGUAAGGGAUUGGAUGUCUUGAUGCCGAAAGAAUGCUGGAUAAAUUACUUAUAUGAUCCGAGUCACUGAAUGUGAAAGCUAAUUGUUGCCUUAAUUACGACUCAAGCAAUUGUCUCUAUCGAUGUACUCUUUUCUGUCAAAAAUAAUUU